AUUGAACGCUGGCGGCAUGCCUUACACAUGCAAGUCGAACGGUAACAGGUCUUCGGAUGCUGACGAGUGGCGAACGGGUGAGUAAUACAUCGGAACGUGCCUAGUAGUGGGGGAUAACUACUCGAAAGAGUGGCUAAUACCGCAUGAGAUCUACGGAUGAAAGCAGGGGAUCGCAAGACCUUGUGCUACUAGAGCGGCCGAUGGCAGAUUAGGUAGUUGGUGGGAUAAAAGCUUACCAAGCCGACGAUCUGUAGCUGGUCUGAGAGGACGAUCAGCCAGACUGGGACUGAGACACGGCCCAGACUCCUACGGGAGGCAGCAGUGGGGAAUUUUGGACAAUGGGCGAAAGCCUGAUCCAGCAAUGCCGCGUGCAGGAUGAAGGCCUUCGGGUUGUAAACUGCUUUUGUACGGAACGAAAAGCCCUGGGUUAAUACCCUGGGGUCAUGACGGUACCGUAAGAAUAAGCACCGGCUAACUACGUGCCAGCCGCCGCCGUAAUAC
rnacentral:rRNA from 1 species